CCUCGGGUUGUGCUCAUGUUUAUCAGGGGUGACUCACACUGUCCUUCUGACUAGGGAUGGAGCAUGACAUCCUGGCUGUAGCAUGGAGGAUGCCUGACACAAUCAAGAACUUGGUGCUGAGUGACCAACAGAAAUUGCUAUAAAGCUCGAUAAAAACUGAUGGGGAUACAAAGCCAGCCAGUGAAAGGAAUAUCUAAGAGAUACUCCAUAAAAAAUAAAGAAGUUAUGAUC